GCAAUGACUAGAGUGGCGAACUGGUGAGUAACACGUAAGAAACCUGCCCUUUAGUGGGGGAUAACAUUUGGAAACAGAUGCUAAUACCGCGUAACAACAAAUCACACAUGUGAUCUGUUUGAAAGGUCCUUUUGGAUCGCUAGAGGAUGGUCUUGCGGCGUAUUAGCUUGUUGGUAGGGUAGAAGCCUACCAAGGCAAUGAUGCGUAGCCGAGUUGAGAGACUGGCCGGCCACAUUGGGACUGAGACACUGCCCAAACUCCUACGGGAGGCUGCAGUAGGGAAUUUUCCGCAAUGCACGAAAGUGUGACGGAGCGACGCCGCGUGUGUGAUGAAGGCUUUCGGGUCGUAAAGCACUGUUGUAAGGGAAGAAUAACUGAAUUCAGAGAAAGUUUUCAGCUUGACGGUACCUUACCAGAAAGGGAUGGCUAAAUACGUGCCAGCAGCCGCGGUAAUACGUAUGUCCCGAGCGUUAUCCGGAUUUAUUGGGCGUAAAGCGAGCGCAGACGGUUUAUUAAGUCUGAUGUGAAAUCCCGAGGCCCAACCUCGGAACUGCAUUGGAAACUGAUUUACUUGAGUGCGAUAGAGGCAAGUGGAACUCCAUGUGUAGCGGUGAAUGGCGUAGAUA
rnacentral:rRNA from 1 species